rnacentral:rRNA from 1 species
CAGGAACGUGCAAAGGUGCGCCGCUUGAGCAAAGGCGAAGUUGGCAUGAUAAUUAGCUUGGCAAAUGAAAUAUUUAGCAUCAAGGAAGUGCUCCGUUCUUCCGUUCCAUGUCCCCAUUGUGGUAUCGCCAUUACACGUGUGUCUGGCUGUAACCACAUGCUUUGCAGGAAAUGUGGUAAACAGUUUGACUAUGACCUUGCUGGAAGAAAUAAUGUCAGGGCUGUUGAUUUUAUUAAAGAUGUCGAGAUACAGAAAGAAGCAAGAGUGAGACUGUCCGCCAGCUUCAAACAACAUCCGUGCCCGAAAUGCCACCAGCCACAUCACAAGAUGGGGAACAACAACCACAUCCUGUGCUUGGCAUGCCAAGUUCAUUACUGUGCUCUUUGUCGGAAGGUGGUGCGGAAGAGCUCAGAGCACUAUGGCCCCAGAGGGUGCAAACAGCACACUGUCGACCCCGUGGUCGCUCAGACUAGAACAAAGAAAAAUGAUGACUCUGGAUCAGAACUUGUGUGA